UACGUAGGGUGCGAGCGUUAAUCGGAUUUACUGGGCGUAAAGCGUGCGCAGGCGGCCCGUUAAGACAGGUGUGAAAUCCCUGGGCUCAACCUAGGAAUUGCGCUUGUGACUGGCGGGCUCGAGUACGGUAGAGGGGGGUGGAAUUCCUGGUGUAGCAGUGAAAUGCGAAGAGAUCAGGAGGAACACCGAUGGCGAAGGCAGCCCCCUGGGCCUGUACUGACGCUCAUGCACGAAAGCGUGGGGAGCAAACAGG
rnacentral:rRNA from 1 species